ACGGUCCUAAGGUAGCGAAAUUCCUUGUCGGGUAAGUUCCGACCCGCACGAAAGGUGUAACGAUUUGGGCACUGUCUCAACGAGGGACCCGGUGAAAUUGAAAUACCUGUGAAGAUGCAGGUUACCCGCGACUGGACAGAAAGACCCCAUGGAGCUUUACUGUAACCUGACAUUGGGUUUUGAUACAUUACGUACAGGAUAGGUGGGAGGCAUGGAAAGCUGGACGCUAGUCUGGCUGGAGCCGACGUUGGGAUACCACCCUUGAUGUAUUGAAAUUCUAACCGCGAGAGUAACGAAAUCCGGGACAGUGUCAGGCGGGCAGUUUGACUGGGGCGGUCGCCUCCGAAAGAGUAACGGAGGCGCCCAAAGGUUCCCUCAGGCCGGACAGAAACCGGCCGAAGAGUGCAAAGGCAGAAGGGAGCUUGACUGCGAGACCAACAAGUCGAGCAGAGACGAAAGUCGGGCUUAGUGAUCCGGUGGUACUGAGUGGAAAGGCCAUCGCUCAACGGAUAAAAGCUACCCUGGGGAUAACAGGCUAAUCUCUCCCAAGAGUUCAUAUCGACGGGGAGGUUUGGCACCUCGAUGUCGGCUCAUCACAUCCUGGGGCUGGAGUAGGUCCCAAGGGUUGGGCUGUUCGCCCAUUAAAGUGGUACGCGAGCUGGGUUCAAAACGUCGUGAGACAGUUUGGUUCAUAUCCAUCGCGGGCGCAAGAAGUUUGAGAGGAGCUGCUCCUAGUACGAGAGGACCGGAGUGGACGGAUCAACGGUGUCCCAGUUGUCACGCCAGUGGCACGGCUGGAAAGCCGCAUCCGGGAAGGAUAAACGCUGAAAGCAUCUAAGCGCGAAGCCAACCUCAAGAUGAGACUUCUCAUCAGCAAUGAGUAAGACCCCUUACAGACGAUGAGGUAGAUAGGUUAUGAGUGGAAGAGCCGCAAGGCUUGGAGCGACAUAAAACUAAUAGGUCGAGGUCUUAACUUA
rnacentral:rRNA from 1 species